rnacentral:rRNA from 1 species
UGGGGAAUUUUGGACAAUGGGCGAAAGCCUGAUCCAGCAAUGCCGCGUGUGUGAAGAAGGCCUUCGGGUUGUAAAGCACUUUUGUCCGGAAAGAAAUCCUUGGCUCUAAUACAGUCGGGGGAUGACGGUACCGGAAGAAUAAGCACCGGCUAACUACGUGCCAGCAGCCGCGGUAAUACGUAGGGUGCAAGCGUUAAUCGGAAUUACUGGGCGUAAAGCGUGCGCAGGCGGUUUGCUAAGACCGAUGUGAAAUCCCCGGGCUCAACCUGGGAACUGCAUUGGUGACUGGCAGGCUAGAGUAUGGCAGGAGGGGGGUAGAAUUCCACGUGUAGCAGUGAAAUGCGUAGAGAUGUGGAGGAAUACCGAUGGCGAAGGCAGCCCCCUGGGCCAAUACUGACGCUCAUGCACGAAAGCGUGGGGAGCAAACAGGAUUAGAUACCCUGGUAGUCCACGCCCUAAACGAUGUCAACUAGUUGUUGGGGAUUCAUUUCCUUAGUAACGUAGCUAACGCGUGAAGUUGACCGCCUGGGGAGUACGGUCGCAAGAUUAAAACUC